GACGAGGGGUCCAAGCGUUGUUCGGAAUCAUUGGGCGUAAAGCGGGUGUAGGCGGCUCUAUAAGUCAGGAGUGAAAUCCCCGAGCUUAACUUGGGAAGUGCUUUUGAUACUGCAGAGCUUGAAUGUGGGAGAGGGUAGUGGAAUUCCAGGUGUAGUGGUGAAAUACGUAGAUAUCUGGAGGAACACCGGUGACGAAGGCGACAUCCUGGACCAACACUGACGCUGAUUGAGCGAAAGCCAGGGGAGCAAACGGG
rnacentral:rRNA from 1 species